AUGGUGGCCAGACAUAGUUGGAGCAGCAGAGUUCACCAGGAUACAAAUCUAGGGGAAGGAUACAGUGUCAAGAAGAUCAAAUGCAAGCCUGAUAUAUCACCAAGAUUACAUCAAUACAGACAUUUUCAAAUAGGAAUUUCAAAUCAGGCUGGUAAUCAUGAUUUUGAACAAUUUUCUUUUAAAAAUGAUUUUCUAAUAUCUUCCAAAGGGAAUAUUUGCAAUAAAACAGGAGAGCAUGCCUACAACCAACAACCAACUAAUGUUUGGAUUAUUUUUGUGUGUGUCAGGAGCAACUUGAAUAACUGCAUGUCACUUCUGGUGUGAGAGAAUUGGCCAUCUGCAAGGACAUUGCCCAGGGGACUCCUGGAUGUUUGAUGUUUUACCAUCCCAUGGGAGGCUUCUCUCGUGUCCCUGCUUGGGAAGCUAGAGCUGACAGAUGGGAGCUCACUCUGCUCCCCGGAUUGGAACCACUGACCUUUUGGUCAGCAGUCCUGCUAGCACAUGGGUGUAGCCCAUUCUGCCAUCAGAGACUCGAUGUUUGAACUGAACCCAAUGUAGAUAAAAACAUGUUUUUGUCUAACUCCUGAGGAAAAUAUGGUGAAAUAAAAUAUAGUGGAGUAUUAUGUGAACUAUCCUCACUGGAAAACUUGUAAAACCAUGUUAGCAUUCCAGGAAACUAUCAGGUUAAAAGUCUGGAGCCAAUGAAGUUUUGGGUCCCAUAUCGGGAGAAAGGUGGAAUAUAAAGUAAGGAAGUAAAUAGCAGCUAAAGUGCAGAACUAAAUAAAUUCAACUUCUGUCAAUCCCAAGCCAUGAAAUUUAGUAAGUGGCCUUGGGUCAAUUAUGUUCUUCCUCAGAUGGAUGGAUGCAGGAUCAGAGAAAAGUAAAAAUGGGGAUGAAGAAAGCCAUGUAUGCUGCUGAAGGAAAGAUGUGAUAUAAAUGGAUCAAACCAAUCCUUUUUUUCCUUUCAGAUGAAUUCAGCAUUGGCAGUUCUACCAUUAUUGAACAUAGUUUCCCAGAUAACAUGGAAUCAUGUGGUAUUUGACAGGCAUGUUCCUGCCAUUCUUCUUACAUAUGGUGUCUACAACGUGAUGUGUUGCUAAGUGCCUUUUGUCCUGAGAAAAUCAGCCUCUUAUCAAAAUAUUGCUGUCU
rnacentral:lncRNA from 1 species